CAGCCGCCGCGGUAAUACCGGCGGCCCGAGUGGCAGUCACUAUUAUUGGGCUUAAAGCGUCCGUAGCCGGGUUGGGAAGUCCUCCGGGAAAUCUGGCCGCUUAACGGUCAGAAUGCCGGAGGAUACUCCCAGCCUAGGGAGCGGGAGAGGCCGAGGGUAUUCCCGGAGUAGGGGUGAAAUCCUAUAAUCCCGGGAGGACCACCUGUGGCGAAGGCGCUCGGCUGGAACGCGUCCGACGGUGAGGGACGAAGGCCAGGGGAGCAAACCGGAUUAGAUACCCGGGUAGUCCUGGCUGUAAACGAUGCGGACUUUGUGUCGGACAAGCUAUGAGCUUGUCCGGUGCCGGAGGGAAACCGUUAAGUCCGCCGCCUGGGGAGUACGGCCGCAAGGCUGAAACUUAAAGGAAUUGGCGGG
rnacentral:rRNA from 1 species